UGAUGUUGUCAUGGAGAACCCAGCUGGGUGGAUCUGACCGUGGCCCCUCGACUCCCUCCAAUGACCUUACAAGGACAAGGGCUACAAGUCUCCUGAAGGUGGAGAUCACGUCUGUCUUGUCCAUUGUGGUACUUCAUGGAUGCUAAAAAUAUUUGUUGCUUGCAUACACGAAUUUGUUGCUUGCAUACACGAAUGAACACGUCAAACAAAACCAUCUGUAAUUUCUACCACUACAGAGAAAAACAACAUUUGCUGUUCAGUUUUGAGCUCUCCAGAAAGGCUCCAUCAGCAGUGGAUGUGAGGGUGGGUUCUUCGUAUUCGGGUUGCACCGGGCAUGGCUUCU